UACGUAGGGUGCGAGCGUUAAUCGGAAUUACUGGGCGUAAAGCGUGCGCAGGCGGUUCGUUGUGUCGGCGGUGAAAGCCCCGGGCUUAACCUGGGAAUGGCCGUCGAAACUGGCGAACUGGAGUGUGGCAGAGGGGGGUGGAAUUCCGCGUGUAGCAGUGAAAUGCGUAGAGAUGCGGAGGAACACCGAUGGCGAAGGCAGCCCCCUGGGCUGACACUGACGCCCAGGCACGAAAGCGUGGGGAGCAAACAGG
rnacentral:rRNA from 1 species